rnacentral:lncRNA from 1 species
AUUCGUCAGAUGUUUGUUUGUUUUGUUAUAACAUAUCAAAUAUUUUAGUGCCAUUAUUAUUAUUUGGUGAGGUGUUAAAGUAAAUUAAGCUAUUGUCCUUGUUUUUGUUUGAAAUUAGAUAUAAAAUGUUAGAAAGUGAAGAAUCAGUAGCCAAAAGACGGCGAGGUAUUGUGAACUCAUCAAAAUAUUUGAGAAAUCAGGUUAAAUAUGGUAGAACUCAUGGAAACCAAUAUCUAAAUUAUAAAGGGAAUAGUCUGUCUGCAAAAACCAUUGGCAAACCAUGCAGUUUCCCCAUGAAAUGCUUUAUAAAAGUUGACGAAAAUACUAGAAAAUGUGUCUUUACAAAAUUUUAUGAGAUGUCAUCAAACAAAGAGCAGGAUAUUUAUAUACAAGGUUGAAUUAUAAUAUGCGGGGUGAACAGGCGAAGGAAGAUUACACAGCCAGGUAACCAAAGAAAUCGCUCAUAUAACCACUUUAUUAAGGCAAAUGGUAUUAAUAUUAAAGUCUGUCAAAGUGCAUUUUUGAGCAUACACGGCAUUUCAAAAGAGCGCAUGAAACGGAUUAAAAAACGGAUGCUUUCAUGUAAUAACCAAACACCCCAAGAUCAGAGAGGUAAAAACAUUAAUGUUAAUGUUGUAAGCGAUAGACACAGAGACGAAAUAAAGGAAUACAUCUCAUCUUUUCCUGUAAAAAUGACUCAUUAUUCCAACAAGGAGUAUCAUCAGUACCUUGAUGCUAAACUUAAUAUAAAAAUCAUGUACAACUUAUUUAGGGAAAAAUACCCAAAUUCUCCUAUCAAGUACAGCUACUACAUUAGGUUUUUUAAAGGAAACUUUCAGCUUCACUUCGGAAGGCCGCAAGUGGAUGUCUGCAAUGCAUGCGAAGAUUUAGACCUUAAAAUAAAGAACCCCCUUUAAAAUGUUGAGACUAAACGUGUGGCAAUAACUAAAAAAAUGGUACACCAGUGAAAAGCUAAAAAAUUUUACAGUGAUCUCAAAACAGCAACAGAGGAAUGCCAACAGCGAGAUGACUUGGUCGCAAUUUCAUUUGACUUUAUGCAAAACCUGCAGUUGCCAGAGUUUCCAACACAGGACAAAUUUUAUUUAUCACAGUUAACUGUUAGUUUAUUUUGUAUUACCAACUUGAAAUCUCAAAAAUCCUUUUUUUAUAUUUAUCAUGCAGGUAUAGCUUCCAAAGGGCCGAAUGAGGUAUGCUCCUUUAUUAUAGAUUAUACUCAUAAAGAAACUAAUGAGAAUAUAAAACAAGUUUGCACUCAGUUUUUCAAAUUUGCACUCAAUUGCGCUUGUCACAAAACAGGCGCAACUGAGUUGCGCUUGUUUUGUGACAAUAUCCCAGGGCAAAAUAAAAACCACUGCAUGGUUAAAAUGUGCAUGGCUCUAAAAUCAACAGGUCGAUUUGAUAAAAUUUCACAGUAUUUUCCAAUACGCGGGCAUUCUUUUCUAGCCUGUGCUCGGGCAUUUGGGACCAUAAAACGGAAGUUAAGAAGAUUUGAUAGGGUAUAUGUUGUUCAUCAAUACACUGAGCUGAUAAUUAUUUCUAGUGCCAAGAACUAUUUUACUGUCAAGGAAGUUGCCACAGAAGAGAUGUUAAAUUUUAAAAAAAUGGUGGCCGAAAUAUUAUAAGUUAUGUUGUGUAUCAGAUGACACUAAAAAGAAAAAAAAAUAGAAGCGAGAAGGUACAGUUUUCAGUUUCCCAGUACCAUUACUUGAUUCGCGCUUCAACACUCAUUCAACACUCAUGCUCGCAAACCAGAGAAAGCUAAAAAGUAAAAAGAUUUAAACAAAUACCUAUAAUUAAAUUAAACUUUAAGAUUUCUAAACCUUUGUAAAAAUAAAAUUAAUUUACUAAAAUGUAA